rnacentral:lncRNA from 1 species
CCAGAUUUCCGCGAUGACUGCGCGCCCAAGUCGAAGCAGGUCACCGCUUGAUCAUGUUUUAUAACCCACCACCGAAGGCAAGGAUUCCUUGAAUUAUCUCUCGUCACAGAGCAACUAGGUACAUCCACGGUUGGAACAAGCCACACUCACAUCAAGCACACCUCAUCCUCAUGCAAACACAGAGUAGCAACUUGAGGUAAACAUUACAGCACUCACUACAGAACCAUCAGAGAUAUUCAGGUUAGCUCUCCAAAAACGUGUGCCUGCCUGCAUUCAUGCGCCGCGCGUGUGUGUUGACUGUUGAAGACCUCAGUUGCGAGCGCCUAUAAUUGAUGUAACAACAAAAUACAGCCUGAUUAGAACAAGUGAAGAUGUAGUCCAAUAGUAACACAUAGCAACAGUCAGAGUGUAGUAAUAAAAUCAGGCUGUACAUUUCAUUCAAGCGAUUAAGUUCUUAAAGCUGAGCCACACUACAUAACAGUAUAUAAGAUGGCUUACUGGAUUCACUAAGCAAGGUAGAUUAUUCAGCUAGUGUUGUCGGACUGAAAUGCCAUACAUAGUGUGCUAAUAGCCUCACCAGGAGUUGACUCCCGGUAGCCUGAACUAAACGCCUGUGCGGGAUCUUCUUAUAUCAAUUAACAGAAGGUGUGCACACGACAUGAAGCAAGCUGGUUACAGAAGCCAUCUAAUACGAGGCUAGAUUCAUCAAUACCAGCAAGUAUGGUAUUGGCAGGCGCUAACUAAGGAUCUGUCAAUGAUCUUCAGAAAUGAAACGCAAAACACAGAAAGUAGGCCACUUUAAGACGAUGGAUUGCUCGAUCUAGAAGUACUGUAGCUAGGGUUCUUAGCCAGCCAAGAGAUGGAUCUCACCGACCCCGAAUGGUGCUUAAAUAGCAAGGGAAAGUAGCUAAAAAGUAAUAAAGCAGAAAAGCAGCGAUGCAUAAAGUUUGGUAACAAGUGGGCCAGAUUAUGUAACAAUAUAUAUGAUGAGUUAGUGGGUUCACUAAGCAAGGUAUAUUAUUCAGCUACUGUAGUGGGUACGCUAACAGCAUCACUAGAAGUUAACUUGUAGAAGCCUGAAAUAAACAAUGGUGUGGGAUCUUAUAUUAGUAGAUAGACAAGGUGUGUACACAACAUGUAGCAACUUGGUACAGCAGCAGCCACAAGGAACAUAACUAGACAUAACAGGGUGCUUGAAAACUGUGACAAAACAGAGUAAUGCGCAGAAAAUAUGAACAUACAAGAAGCAGAGCAAUCAUUCAACAAAAUGUGUAGUAGCUUUGUGCAAAGUGAAAACUGAGAAACAUGCAACCCCUAGUAUUCUGAAUGUCAAGGCUCACAGUUGGUCAACCAUAUCUAGUUGUCAUGCAGUUGAAACUUUGAAGAUAUAGCAUCUCCAGAAUUCAUGCUAAUAACUCAAUCAACUCUCUCGAAACAGGCUUUCACCCCCGCUUUUAUAUAUAAAGCAACAACCGAACAAAGUACACGGCCGAAUGAUACAAGGUGGAGAGGUAGUCCUCUUACAAAGCCGAUCCCAGAAUAAACGGAUCACCAAUGGUACCGACGAAAAAGCACAGGAGGACCGAGUACAACGCCAUGCUACGCCCUAUACACCUAAGCUCCACGACAACGCCCUCAGAGGGAUGCCGGCGCCAAGCGUCGCCGCUGUCGAGUCCACAAUGGACAAAGGUUUUCACCUGGAACCCGGACACGGAUGGGAACACCACGACGACGUCUUCAAGAAGAGAGCGGCACCCUUGAGCGUCACCAUCGUCGGCGCCAGAGCGCAGAGCUUUCGGCCGGUAGUUCUCGCGUGUCACCACAAGGUCUUCAGAAGAAGCAUGACAAGCUCAAGUCCCCAGAUCCGGAUCGAGACGCCCCCACGGAGACCGAGAGCGCGCCCGAGCUACCUUGCGCCAAGCCUCUCGCCGCCCACACGACCAAGAGACAAUGCCACCACCGCCGCCAUGAUGCCUGCCGGAGAGCCAACCAUGCGGACCACCUUCCAGGGCCGCCGCCCCGGCAUCCAUGCCACGCGACAAAGCCAACCGUCCGCUUCACCGUGCACAAACCGUGGUUAGAGAAGCCCGGCAUCAGCCCCCAGGGCAGGGUCAGCGCCACCACCAUAGGGGCACCCACGCCUGAAGUCCCCUCCUANNNNNNNNNNNNNNNNNNNNNNNNNNNNNNNNNNNNNNNNNNNNNNNNNNNNNNNNNNNNNNNNNNNNNNNNNNNNNNNNNNNNNNNNNNNNNNNNNNNNNNNNNNNNNNNNNNNNNNNNNNNNNNNNNNNNNNNNNNNNNNNNNNNNNNNNNNNNNNNNNNNNNNNNNNNNNNNNNNNNNNNNNNNNNNNNNNNNNNNNNNNNNNNNNNNNNNNNNNNNNNNNNNNNGUGGCUACCGACGGCCAUCGUCGAGCCAUCAACUCAGAGGAUGCCAAAUCCGUGGCCUACGACAUAGAUCUGACUGCUGGCACAACACUGUCCUGACCACCACCACCACGGUCCUUCAUCAACGCCAUAACGAGAAGACGCCCCCCAAUUGAACCACAAGCUCCCAUCUUGACCGGAACGGAGGCGGCCCAGAGCCGUGCACCGACUCCAGGGCGACCGAACGUUGGACGCCGCGCAAGGAGCGACGAGCCCCGGGUAGGAGGACCGCGUCAAACUCUCGCACCGGAUGCCAGUCCGCGUUGCCGGCCAACUACCAGCCAACGCAUCCGGGGAUCUGGGCAUACCGGAUCCAGAUGAGAGGCCGCCAAGGCAGCCGGCAGUCCGGCCGCCGAGCAGCCGCAUCCACGGUGCCAGCCCCGCGCCCCCUCGGCUCUCCACGCAUCGUCCUGCCACCGCCGCCCGAGGCCAAGGCGUCCACCGUCCACCCGCUGACCAGCCUCCACCCGCCCGUGAGAAGAGCCGCCGGCUACCUUGCUGCCAACAGCCGCCGUCCGACGCCCAGGAAGCGCCAGGCCGCGCCGCCCACAGCCCUCAUCGCAUCAGCCCCUCACACGCUAGAUCCACACCGCCAGAGCUCGCCCGACACGAUCCUCCACCGUCCAUGCCGCCACCACGCCAGCAGCCUCCAGCGCACCCGCGCGGCGUCGCGUCGCGGUGCCCGUGCCGCACCUCUGCCUAUGGGGGAUCGAGAGGGCCCCGCCGCCGCCGGCCCGGACGAGCUUUGCCCGGCCAAACCCUUUGGCGGCGACGGGAGAGGAUAGGGCUGGAAAAAAAGCUCGAAGCUCGUGAGCUAAAUGAGUAGCUCGUGACUCGGCUCGAAUCGACUCGAACUCGAAGAAUAACGAGUCGAGCCGAGCUUUAGUUUAAGAUCGUUUAUAGACCAAGUUAAACGAGCCAAUCUCACGAGUACUCGUGUAACUCGUUAGGCUUGGUACAAAAGAUCAGCUACUUCCAAUAUAAAAAAAGAACAGCCACUCAGCACCCUAUGUCCCAGGCGCACAACACAAGGCCUAGCCGUUGAAGGCCCAACCGCCUAGGAGACUCAUGUGUUACAAGGAAAUUACUAUUGUUUAGUGAUAUAUAUGUUUAAUAUAUACAUAAUAAUUUUUAUAAUGGUUUUAUGUUCAUAUCUUUAACGAGCUUAACAAGCUAAACGAGCCAGCUCGCGAGUUAUACGAGUCGAGCCAAUCUUGGAUUUGAGCUCGUUAAUGAUAACGAGUCGAGUCGAGCUAGCUCGUUAACGAAACGAGCUCUAGCGAGUCAAGCCGAGCUGGCUCGACUCGGCUCGAAUUCCAGCCCUAGGAGAGGAGGAGGGAGGGUGGGGAGCUCGGCAGCGGCCGCCUAGGGUUCCCUCCCCGCCGCCACGCGGGGGCGGCGCGGGAGGGAGAGGAGAGUACAAUCAAUCAGCCCUGUUGGUCUUGUCUCCUACGGUGAACUUAAUUACGCUACUCAAUCAACUAGAAGUUAGUAGUUUCCAUACCUGCACAUAAAGCUUCAUAUAUCAUAAUCGAAGAACUCGGGAAAACCACGGAGUGAAAUACACUGCUAGAUGGUCAUGACAAAUCAUGAUGACAAGCAUUACGCAACCAGCAAGCAAUAAAACAUGCUGCCAUAUGGUCAUGUUGUACAACACCACUAGUUACCACAACAAUUCAAGCUAAUCAUCCUACUAGAAUAUGAGAACUACCCAAUUUUCAGAACCACAUUAUGUAAAAGUAUAUAUGAUGACUUAGUGGGUUCGCUUAGUAAGGUAAAUUAUUCAGCUAUUGUAGUGGACUUAAAUGCCAUAGUACGCUAACAGCCUCACUAGAAGUUAACUUCUGGAAGUCUUAAAUAAACAAUGGUGUGGGAUCUUAUAUCAGUAGAUAGAACAUGAAGCGUGACUUUUUCUCAAAAUAAAAACAUAAAGCAACCUGGCAGAGCAGCCACAAGGUGCAUAACUAGAUAUAACAGGGUGCUUGAACACUACGAAAAAAACAGUAUAUCCGCAGAAAAUAUCAACAUACAAGAAGCAAAGCAAUCAAUCAAUGAAAUGUAUAGUAGAUAUGUGCAAACUUAAAACUGAGAAACAUGUCAAGCCUCACAGCUGGUCGACUAUGUUUGGUGGUCAUGCAGUUGCAACUUGAAAGAUAUAACAUCCCCAAAAUUCAUGCUAAAUCAAUAAACCUAGUUUCCAUAGGUGCACAUAGAGCUUCAAAUUUCAAACACCAGGAGAGUAAAAUGCACUGCUAGAUGGCCGUGACUCAUGAUCAAUCAUGAUGACAGGCAAUAUGCAACCAGCAACCAAUAAAAAUUAUGCUGCCAGAUGGUCACAUAUAUUGUACCACUAGUUACUUCAGCUAUUCAAGCUAAUCAUUCUAGUAUAAUCUGGGAACUACACAAUGUUCAGAUAACAUAUGCAGAACAAUUCUAAAGCAGUGCAGUACAUGUAGAUGCUGGAGAAUGAUACUAACCAUCUACAUUAGAGGAUUUCAACUGGUGCAAAAGGGUCAUCCUCAGAAAACUUUGCUCCCCGCUGAGAGGUCCAGCAUCUGCCUCCCUCAGUACCAGUACUCUCAUAGGCAGAAAUCUUACAUUCACUGGAUAGCAUCUCAUCCACAGACCUUGAAAUGAGUCUUGGAUUGGUCAUCAAACUGAAGAAUGGAAAGAUGGGAUCUGAGACACGUACCAUGGAGUAGAUUGGGCAUGGAUGCUGGUCAGUUGGUCGGCCGUUUCGUUUCGUCGAGCAGCUGGCGGGCAUGCUGCCAUUGGAGUUGGGAGGGGUGGGUGGGUAUGAGGGGGAGGAGGUCGUGGACGUCCGUGGCAGCGAGGAGACGGAGAAGAGCCAGCGCCGCGCCCUUGAGGUUACUCGCCGUCGCCGGUGCUGGUGGUUGAGCGGCGAGAAGCGAGGAUGCGAUGCGGUGAGGCAGUGAGCAGACCUUGAGCAACUUAGGGGUUACGGCUCGGUCGGUUCGGUCGGAACCGAAACGUGCCGGUCGGUUGCCCUAUUGGCACGCGGGGGUUUGGGAGCACUCCAUGGUCGCCGGCCGCCGGAGCUCGGAGAGGCAACCGGACAGGAUUAAAAAACAAAAUAGAAGAGAAGAAAA